AAAAUAUGUUUUUGGAAGUUUAAAAAAUUGGAAAAUAUAAACGUGGAAAAUUGGUGAACUUAAUUAGUUCAAAAUUAUUAUUACUGCUAUUUUACAAUUGAUAUGUUUUUUUUUGUUUUUUGUGCACCAAACAAAGUAAAGGUUGACUUGAUAUGUUUUGGUUUAACAAUUUACCAUCUUUGGUGCAUUUUGCUUAGGAUUCCAAAAAAUUCGUAUAUUAUUUUAAAACAUUUGUCCCUGGAUCUCCAAAUCCCACCAAUUGACUGAUCGAAUGAUUUCACCCAAAAAAAUGGCCAAUCCAGGGUUCGAAGACCACAGUGCAUUCCUCCAAUGUUCUGGAAGCUAGCGUCUCCGGUAUGUAAGUUUCUUCAAGAGAUCAUUCUCAGUGCAGCGUCUUGCUCGCCCUGUUUUCGAGUACAAAUAGUUUAAACUUGUGAUUACGUUUGACUCUCUUGCUUCUGCCUAUCUAUCGAUAGUGUGUUGUUAACACAAAUGUCUGAUUUGUUGGAGCUUGCUGCACACUUUCAGUUUGGAAUUAUUCGUUAAUAUUUUCAUGUGUAUUGUUAAUAAUAAUGGUAGGUGGAGUCAGUCGAUACUAGAAAAGGAGAGCAUCGCACUGGAAGAGCUUCUUCACGAAGAAGAAAUUACUCAAGAAUGCAAAGCUUUGAAUAACCCGACUCAUUCAUAUUUUCUAAGGGAUAAAGCUAGAGUGGAGCAACUCUUGCUGUAUAUUGCUGAAGAACCUCGGGAUGACGAAUCGUGAAAUGAUGGCUGUUUCUGUUGGUCAUCAAAAUGUUUUUAGCCAGCUGGUUGAUUUGAUUGGAAUAGCAUCCAUUAUGGAGGUUUUGGUUCGCUUGGUGAGAGCUACUAAAUUAGUCCUCCUGAGGUUUAGGCAAAGGCAGCAGAAAGAUUAUGUGCAACUACUCGAAAUGCAUCUUCAGCUUUAGCUACAAAACUCUCCAGCUCUGGCUUCGUUUCUAGGAUAUUUGGUCAUGCUAUAGAAGAUUUACACUCAAAAUCUGGCCUAGUUCAUUCACUUACCGUCUCUGUUAGAUUCGAGGGGAGCAUUAUACUUUCUUGUUUGGCAAAUAAGAGCGAAGUAUUGGUCAACCAUAUCCUUCAAGAAUGCAAUCUAAAACCAAAAUUCUUUCAUCAGACAAAGACUCCCACCAUCUGCGCUUUGGAUUUAACUGAUGAUUAUCAAUAUGUUCGGAUGAUCAUUACUUCAUUAGUUAAACAAAUUUUUCUGCCACUUAUUUAAUCAGUGAUGCAGCCUACCGUGGAUGCUACUGGGAAAAACCCACCAAGAGUUGGAUAUGUUGGACAUAUAACAAGACUAUGGAAUAAACUGAUAAGCCUUGGAGGGUAUACUAUGGUAAGAAGAGGAAUGGAUUGAAUGAGAGAGAAGAGGAGCAGGAGGGAGCUAGUGCUGACGUGGACUGAAGUUGUUACGAGUUAGUUACAAGACGUUGGAGUCAGUUACGUUAGAGAGGAGUAUAAAUAAGAGUUCGUUUGUAAAGAGAGUUAGCUUUUGAGUAUUGUGUACAGGAUCUAUAGACUAAAGGUCUUGAUCUCAGGCUCUCGACGUGUGAGACGUCUUGAGAAGUUCUUGGUACUUGGCUUGUAUUUCUAAAGUGUAGAAUACAAGAGUGGGAGGUUGGGCGGAUUAUAAACAAAUUACAUUCAAUCUCUUAUCAUAAAUUGUCCAGCUGAGUGAUAGCAAUGCCUUGACAAAGUCGUCUCUUCAGGAAAACAGUGAACGGAAAGAGUGGCAAAGUAGUGUUCUGCAGGACCGCAACACUGUUGAGAAUUGUGUACAGAUGGGGUUGCGGGCGCCCAACUACACUACAAGAUAGAACAAGGGUAUUACGAUGUUGCCGCUCUGGCCAAUAAAUUGAGCCACGCAUUUAACUACAGAAGCUAUGGAAACAACAACGAUAAAUGAAGAGUUCAGGAAAACUUAAACCAGGAGGAGACUUCGGGAGUAACAGAGUUCAGUAAUACAAAUUUUUGGAGGGUUGAUCAACAAGUUACAGUUUUGGAGUAAAAUAUACAAAAUGGUAAUAAAGAAAAACAGAAGCCUGAAUAAAGUCUGCAUUUUUUCUAAUAGUUUUUUGUUUGUUUCGUAAUUUAUCAUGCUGUCUUUUUUUGUUUAUAUAAUUGUUAUCAUUAUAAUAUAUUAUUCGACGGAUUACAGUUUUUAAUAUAUAUUUUCAAUCAAACUCGUUUUUAAAUAUGUUGGAGAAAUUGGAGUGAUAUAUAUAUAUAUAUAUAUAUAUUAACAAGGUUCUUAUUCAACUUUAUAAUAUGAAGAUUCCACUAAAAGCGACACGCUAACAAAUUCUAGCCGAAUCGUCAUUUGAUCGGUAGAAAAGAAGACAUCCCACUUUGGUCCUUUUUGUUUUUUUUUUCCUAUUAAUUUGAAAUAUUAUUAAACUUAUACACUUGUUUAAUGACAUUAUAGGUGUUGUUUCACAUCAUCAAUUUACAUUCCUUUUAUACCCACUCAGACUAAGUCCACUUAACUCAGCAAUUUUCUCAAUUUUGAUUGGAAUUUGUCGUCAUAAAAUACUGUCCGUUGACAUCUUUUUGUUUCCGACAAAACUUUUUUUGCAGUUUUUGUUCACUAAUACCAUAUAGUGCAGGCUUAAAAAACAUUCGUCACGAUUCGUGAUUUGCUCAUUAGAAAACAUCACACUAUGGUCCAGUUAUCUAUAAAAGAUAAUAAUGAUUCAUAGAAUUAGUCAUCGACAGUUGAUGCACUCGUCUAGUGACUUUGUAGUUGUAGUUUCACAUCAUUAUGCAUGCCAUCUAUCCUUUACUUCCCACUCAGAAGUCAGAACAUCAAUUCCUCGACGAAGGUAUGGUAGCUGGUUAAUGCAAAGAACUAGUUAUGUUGUGUUAUAGGUUCAACCUCUUAAUUUUGUCGAUUUACAUUUAAGUCGUGGUAAUAAUAACGGUUUAGCUAUGUAUAAAAAGGUUUUUUCUAUUAUGGGAAUGGAUUAGCGCAAUCCUAUAAAAAAAAUUAAACCGUAUAUUUUGAUACCAGCGGCGGACCUACGUUACGAAUAGUGUGUCAGAUAACCCAGGUUAAAAUAUAUAGUUUUGACAUUUUGGCUAUGUGCAACAUGGAUUCGACAGCUCGGUAGGUUAGUUUCCUCCUCUAGUGACCCAUUUUUUUUCUGGUUCGAAUAUAUUUGACACUAUUUCUGACCCUUUCCCCCCCUCCAAAAAAAAAAUUGAAGCUGGAUCCGCAGAUGUUUGAUACCAAAACUAAAACAUACUUAUUAGUUAUAACAGGGUAAGUUACCCACAUGACCAAUAUUAUAUAAUAUAGAGUUGAGCUAAAUUUAAAACAUUUAUUUAACAUCUCUAAAAAACACUUAAAAUCUUGUUUUAUAGUUAUUUUAUAAUUAUUUUUAUAUUCAAUGUUCUACAGAAAACAAAAGAAAAAUGUAGAAAUAUUAAAAGAAACAUUUUAGUUAGAUUUCUCUUUAACAACAUCAUAUAGUGAAAUAAACUUAGCUAACAUCUCCACCAUACAACCCUAAAACAAAUUCCAGCUGAAAAGAGAAACUCCAAAACAUAGAACAAUCCAGAAAUUCAUAUCAUUUGAAGCUCAAUUCAGACUUUUUUUCAAGUUCAGUCCAAAAUUUUAACGUUCAAGAAAUAAACCGUUCCAAGUGGUGGCCAUCUAGAUUCCAAGUUUUAAAUCUAGGUGUAACUUAGAGAGAGAUUAUAUGAAUUUAUCAUUCUUUUUGAUCUUUAUAAGUUUAUAUAGUUACCAAAAGAAGUCAAAAGUUCAGGUAUAUACUAGUCUUUUGGAUAUAUAAUAUUGUGUAGCUUAGCUAAAAGCAGUCAUCAGAUGAAACAUUAUUUCUAUCUGCAAAGAGCAGUCAUUUUCUCUAUGGUUUUUUUUUUACCAUGUCACUGAAUAAAUGUUACUAUUGAGCUAGCAGUAGCUUGAAGUAUCGGAAUUUGCCGGAAAGUUGUUCUUGUCUCUAUCAUUAGCUCGGUUUGACCAAACUAAGUCGAUAAACCGGUUAAAGCAAAUCAAUGAGAUGAAUGAGAAAGGUAGAGAAUAGAACUAGAGGCGAAUCCACGUUGAGCAAUAAUGGGUCAGCUGUCACAAGUUAAAUUUAAGUUUCAGCUGUUUUGCUAUAAAAAAACAAGAGAUUCUGUAGGUCAUUUGGUUAACACUCUUCUCUUCUGACCCACCUAACCAGGGUUCAAUUUCAUAUUCUGCUACAUUAUUACUGAUUUUUUUUUAAAUGAUUUUCAUUAUGGACCAAAGCCCAAUUGUUGACACUCCUUAAAUUUUGGGAUGAGUAUGCCACUGAGUAGAACUAGCAGAGAAGUAAAGACAAUAGCCAUGUUUUUUAAAAACGCAGCAACUGGUUUUAGUGGCAAUAAAUAAAAUUGCGACGGAAGUAAUUUUACUUGCUGUAAAAUUACAUCAGCGGCCGCGUCAAUCGCCAAAGAUCGAUUAGAGACAGGAAACCGGAGUUGCCGAUGUUCUUUCUAGCGUCGCAUCUGCCGAUUAUUACUUGUUGUACCGAUUGAAAAAGAAAAUCUAUUUUGCCGCGACUGUGGUGUAUUUGGCGUGAUCAUAGCUGUUAUUUUAAACUGCUGUCGUUGGCGUUUAUUAAACGAACAGGCCUAAUGUGUAUUAAGCUAGUGCUAGUUUUACUCUCUACCUUGCUCAGAUUUUCGUACACGCAAUUUCAAACCUCUUCUUGUUUGUCUGACAUGGGACGAUCUCUCAUUCGGGGAUUUCAAGUUUGUAUUGCUACUUCUAGUCAUGUUCACUCCCAAAUUGAAAUUGUCUUUUUUUUUGCUAACCGAGUAUCCUGACCCCACCGAGGUGGUCCAGACUAGAGACCGAAGUGAGCAUGGACGCUGCCAGGGCGUCACCAUGUGGCUCACCGUGUAACGGUCUUCGGUCUCGGAUGCUGCAGCCCAUAUGUAAAUUCCGCAGUGGCCAAGGCUCGAACCCAGAGGCGGGCACUCCAGCUGGAGCUCCUAUACCACUAGACCAAAGCAACUUGGUUGAAAUUGUCUUUACUUCCCUGUUAUUUUUAUCUUUUUGGUAGUGGGACCAAAUUUAGAAAAAAAUUAACAUUUUGUAAAUCGCAACUUUAUUCGUAGCAAAAUAAUUUGUUACAACAUUUAAAAAAAAAAAUACACCCAUGAUACGAUACUCCGGUUUAACAGGAUAUUAAAAACAAAGAUUUAAAAUUAGAAAAUACCGUUUGACCAAACCAAGUCGAUAAACCGGUUAAAGCGGAUCAAAGAGAUGAAUGAGAAUGAUGUAGAAUCUACCGUACAUUGUGGCAUGACUCUUACAGUUAGCUGACAUGUUAAUCUAACAAAGACCGGUUUCGACGAUCCGAACAAACAACAAACAAAGCACAUGAUGUGGGACCUACCGCACGAACGCGACGUCUGUGCAACGUUAUCAAAUAUUUCUGUCUUCCAUAUUUUUAUCUUAUCUUUUUUGAUAAAAAAAAUAACUUUUCAAAAUAUGAUUCUUUAACCGUGAACUAACAUACAGAACCUAAAAUUAUUUUCUUAAAGUUAUCUUUCUACCGUGAACUAACAUACUACUAUUACUUAUGGAAAUUAAAAAAGAAGAAAUUCUUUUACACCAAUAAUUACACUACUUUUUUUUUUUUUACACUACUUGUAUAUAAAGAACCAAAUUUAAAAGUUAAAAUUAGUUUAUUAAACGACGAUCUAUGAAAAAGGCCAGCUACAAAUUCAAAGGGACCAAAGAUGGAGUUUAUAGUCCGUUAAUUGAUCAGCACUGGUUUUGUUUAUAAACCUGUCUAUUUUAUAAAUGAAAAUGUGUAAAAUUGUCUUUUUCGUCUAACUUGUAACCUCUAAAAUUUAAAUGUGCCUUUGUUCAUGAAUGUGCCUUUUGGUUUUUAGUUUUAAAAUACAAAUUUAAUUUUAACAGUUUAAAGUCAAAUAUUUAUUAAUCUAAUUUGAUAUUUCUUACGUUUCACAAAAAAAUUAUGUUCUUUUCGUUCAAAAAGAGUGUCACUUUAAAAUCUUAAUGCAAUCUAUACAUAUUUUAAGUUUAAUACUCCUUUCGUUCCAUUAAGAUAAACUU